AGUUGAAGAAAUUAGGAUGAUAAAAAAACACAAGGGAUAAAAGGAUUUUGGGUUAGGAAUUAGGAUAAUUAACUUAGGGGUAGAUUAGUAAAUCACUUUUGAUUGGGUGGUUAACUAGGUUUUAAGUGGAUUAGGGUUACUAUGUAUAAUUGUUUAAAGUAUGAUGUCACUUUGUAUAUUUUUUUUUUUUUUGCUUGUCACCAAAUAGAAAAACUCAAAGUAGGAGGCUACCAUGUAGAAUUUUCCUUCCUAAUUUCAUGCCAUAGCUGCUGCCAUUUUCUUCCCACUAAGUGACCAUUUGUACCCACGUUUUCAGUCUCAUUCUGGUUUUCUUCUCUCUAUAAAUCCAGAGGUUUAUUGUUUGAUUAAAACACAGAAAAAUGCAACACUUUCUUCUUCUCCGCUUUCUUUCUUCUCAAUCUGUUUUCCCAUGAACACUGGAAACACAGAAACUGUGUAUCCCUGGAGGUUGAUUGCUAGGAGUUUGUGUGUUGUUGCAGGGCAAAUUCAACUUUAGGGCAGUGAUGUUCCCACGCCACGAUUAUCAGAUAAGUGAGAUUAUUUUGUUACCAGUUUUCUCGUUCCUACACACUUUAGUUCACCGGUGCUCCACCUCCUCCCGGCGCUCGCCGUGCUGAUCUCAUUACUCUCAUGAUUCAUUUUCUACUCUCUCUGCAAAAUCUCCGAAGAAAAAUACCUAAUUACAAAGUGUAAAAAUGGCGAAACCCCGAGUUUCAAUGGAGGUUGGAAAUGAUGGAUUUGCUCUUAUCACUCUUUCAAAUCCUCCUGUUAAUUCCUUGGCGCUUCCGACAAUUGACGGAUUGAAAGAGUUAUAAGAUGAGGCUUUGAAGAGAAAUGAUGUCAAAGAUGAUGAUGGAAGCUUUUUGGCUCUCCUAGGGCUGGAGAUUUUACUUGAUCUUACUUUAUUUUGUCGAUGAUCAUGUAUUUACUGCUCAUUAUAGGGGAUGUAUCUUUGUUGCCAGAUAUAUCGGUUGAUUUGUUGGGCACAAUCGAAGGUGUUGUUCGGCGUUACAUAUUAACUUGUAAUGUGUAUUUGGAGUAUGAGAAAAGCUGGUUCAGGAAAAUGCACAACUAAAAUGCAAAUGGUACAUCAGAUACGAAGGGUGUUUGCAAAGAGAUCUAAUGAAUCGAUCUUGGACUAGCUAGGAAUUUGGCAGAGUUGUUUGGCUAAUGCUCUUCAGUCUCACUUGUUGUUCAUCAUAUACUACAGGAACUACCACCUGAAAUAGUUAGAUCUAAUGUUUUGCACAUUCUUAACCAUAUUGAGUGCAGCAUUGGUUCUUCCUUUGAUCAGGUGAUUUACAUCUUUGAGUAUCUCUCAUAAACUUGUGGCUGAACAAAUAUAUUUUAAUUUAUGAUGUUGGUUGAUCUUCUA